CUCAACUUAACAUCGGAUUGAGGAUUAGCUUAUAACAGUUGGAGAUUUAUAAGUAAUGGCUAAGGUUUCUUGUACCCCUUUCCUCAUUGUUGCUAUCCUUGUCUUCAGAGCUGCAUCGUCAAUGUGGUGAUGAAAGCAGAUGCGCAAGUGAAGGUUUGCCCGGUGGUAUUGCAUCCUACUGGCUGCACCCUCCUAGCUUGUGGUGAAGAGUGCUACAAAAAAUUUAACGGCGCCAGAGGAGUUUGUGAACAGAACGAUUUUUCUGUACACCCCACAUAUAGAUGUGUUUGUAACCGCAUUUGCUAGAACCAUAAUAAGCCUCUCUUUCUUUACAUGUCUGGUCACCAUAUGAGCAAUAAAAGGCUUUAAAAA